AAACAAACUGUUCUUGCAAAGUUAUGACCGCUAUUACCAUGACUGCCUCAUGUGCUUUACAAAUGAAUAAGCAGUUGUGUGAUCAGGAGAGUAUGCCGGUUUUCUUUUACUGGCUCUUAGAAUAUUUUUGGUAUUAGACUUGGGGUAAUACACUUUUUUUAGGUGACACAAAAAAACUUUAGAUGUAACAGUAGGUAUUAAUUCAAUCUAAAUCUGGCAGUUUGGGGACAUUUACGCAUAUUUACAUUUUUGCCAUUCAAAGAAAACCAAUUGGUUCAACCGACCUGUGCAAAGCAUUAAAGGUCAACGGUUUUAUUGUAACACAGUACCACAAUUCAUCCACUGGGUGGCGACACAGACCAGGUUUCCACAAAAAAAAAAGCCGAUGAAGCUGUUAAGACAGCGAGACGGUGUGCAAAUAUGUUUAAGGAAUUAGGACAGACGGGAGGGAAUCAACUCAAGAUGACCAGAGAGCCUGCGGUAGCCAUGUGCAGUGGUGACAUGCCAUGGGGCACAGCUUUUAAUCACAUAACAACCACGUACUGAAUGGCCGUAUUGCUUCUUGACAACAAAGCACUUCUUUGUGACCUCAGAUGAGACACUUGUUUCCUGAGAGCGAUCAUGAAUUCAGGGGUCAUUGCUCUGCCUGAUGUCGUCUGAGUGCCCAGAGACUUCUGCCCACUGGGAGCACAAAUACCCCCCCAGUCUUGGAACAUGGGGAUUUCACACUCCUGUUGUGUAAAGCUUGUUUUUCUCUGUGUGUGUGACAAACACAUGGU